rfam:Myotis davidii contig128351, whole genome shotgun sequence.
GGCAAUUCUUGGGUGACACACGCCGGAAUCGGGCUCCCUCCUCUCUCGUUCCAGGUGUGACACCCGAGAAUCGCA